AUUGAACGCUGGCGGCAGGCUUAACACAUGCAAGUCGAGCGGUAGCACAGGGGAGCUUGCUCCCUGGGUGACGAGCGGCGGACGGGAGAGUAAUGUCUGGGAAACUGCCUGAUGGAGGGGGAUAACUACUGGAAACGGUAGCUAAUACCGCAUAACGUCGCAAGACCAAAGAGGGGGACCUUCGGGCCUCUUGCCAUCAGAUGUGCCCAGAUGGGAUUAGCUAGUAGGUGGGGUAAUGGCUCACCUAGGCGACGAUCCCUAGCUGGUCUGAGAGGAUGACCAGCCACACUGGAACUGAGACACGGUCCAGACUCCUACGGGAGGCAGCAGUGGGGAAUAUUGCACAAUGGGCGCAAGCCUGAUGCAGCCAUGCCGCGUGUGUGAAGAAGGCCUUCGGGUUGUAAAGCACUUUCAGCGAGGAGGAAGGUGGUGAGCUUAAUACGUUCAUCAAUUGACGUUACUCGCAGAAGAAGCACCGGCUAACUCCGUG
rnacentral:rRNA from 1 species